rnacentral:rRNA from 1 species
UCUCCAGACUCCUACGGGAGGCAGCAGUAGGGAAUUUUCGGCAAUGGGCGAAAGCCUGACCGAGCAAUGCCGCGUGAGUGAAGAAGGCCUUCGGGUUGUAAAGCUCCGUUGUAAAGGAAGAACGGAUGGCAUAGGGAAUGAUGCCAUUGUGACGGUACUUUACGAGGAAGUCACGGCUAACUACGUGCCAGCAGCCGCGGUAAUACGGAGGGUGCGAGCGUUAAUCGGAAUUACUGGGCGUAAAGCGCUCGUAGGCGGUAUGUCAAGUCAAGGGUGAAAUCCCCGCGCUCAACGUGGGAACUGCCUUUGAAACUGGCAAACUGGAGUGUGUGAGAGGAUAGUGGAAUUCCAGGUGUAGGAGUGAAAUCCGUAGAUAUCUGGAGGAACAUCAGUGGCGAAGGCGACUAUCUGGCACAUAACUGACGCUGAGGAGCGAAAGCGUGGGUAGCAAACAGGAUUAGAUACCCGUGUA